rnacentral:ncRNA from 1 species
AUGAGGAGCCCCGAAGACCGUUCCCGGCGUCGAAGCCCCGUCAGCGCAAGCUGUCGGAGUGAGAGGGAACCCGGUGAAAAUCCGGGACUGUCCCGCAGCGGUAAGCAGGAACGACCGCCGUUUAUGUGCACUGGGCAUCCGCCUGGGAAGCGACGGCCAGUAGGUUCGAUCCAACUCGAUCGAGUGCCCGCGAGUCCGAAGACCUGCCGACUGUGUCGGGCACGC